rnacentral:rRNA from 1 species
GACGAACGCUGGCGGCGUGCCUAAUACAUGCAAGUAGAACGCUGAAGGAGGAGCUUGCUUCUCUGGAUGAGUUGCGAACGGGUGAGUAACGCGUAGGUAACCUGCCUGGUAGCGGGGGAUAACUAUUGGAAACGAUAGCUAAUACCGCAUAAGAGUAGAUGUUGCAUGACAUUUGCUUAAAAGGUGCAAUUGCAUCACUACCAGAUGGACCUGCGUUGUAUUAGCUAGUUGGUGGGGUAACGGCUUACCAAGGCGACGAUACAUAGCCGACCUGAGAGGGGGAUCGGCCACACUGGGAGUGAGACACGGCCCAGACUCCUACGGGAGGCAGCAGUAGGGAAUCUUCGGCAAUGGACGGAAGUCUGACCGAGCAACGCCGCGUGAGUGAAGAAGGUUUUCGGAUCGUAAAGCUCUGUUGUAAGAGAAGAACGAGUGUGAGAGUGGAAAGUUCACACUGUGACGGUAUCUUACCAGAAAGGGACGGCUAACUACGUG